UACGUAGGGUGCGAGCGUUAAUCGGAAUUACUGGGCGUAAAGCGUGCGCAGGCGGUUUUGUAAGCCGGAUGUGAAAUCCCCGGGCUUAACCUGGGAAUGGCAUUUGGGACUGCAAGGCUUGAGUGCGGCAGAGGAGACUGGAAUUCCUGGUGUAGCAGUGAAAUGCGUAGAUAUCAGGAGGAAUACCGAUGGCGAAGGCAGGUCUCUGGGCUGACACUGACGCUCAUGCACGAAAGCGUGGGGAGCAAACAGG
rnacentral:rRNA from 1 species